UCCCCGGUAGCUCAGUCGGUAGAGCAGCUGACUGUUAAUCAGCGGGUCGCUGGUUCGAGCCCGGCCCGGGGAG
rnacentral:tRNA from 1 species